UGUUAUUUAUCUAACAUCGAUAUCCACCGAAUAAAACAUCUUGCAACGGUUCCUAAAUACCAACCUUAGAAAAUUUUGAGCUCUAAAGAAAGAAUUUUAUCGUAUAGCUUUUUUUCAUUUGUGUCGCUAGCUUAACGAAUUAUCCCAAAAUAGAGAAUCAUUACUUUACUUAUUAUCCGGAUUGAUUGCGUUUGUGAAUGAGAAAGAAGGAUAUGUCUAUAGAUGCGUGACAAGAAGAACUUUGAUUUCUCUGAUGGUGUGGUAAUCGUGAAACUAGUUGUGUUGCUUCAGUGUUGAUGCGUCGAUAAUCUAACGGUUUGUGUGGAGGGCAAAGUUAUUCGCAGCGUGUCAAACAAUGUGCAAAUAAAGCAUUAUAGUAGCGCAAUUGCUGAGCUGUCGUGUUGCGACUUAAUGUACUCAAGCCGAGUCGUCUGUCAUCAAGUUCAUAGUAUAUCUUCUCGCUGGGGAGAAACUCGUGCUCAACCUGUCCGACUUUCGUGAUUUUUGUAAACACCAUUGCUUCUCUUCUAUAAAGGGCUUCCAAAGACAGCCCUUUGUUGCUGUUGUUCUUUUGUGAAAAAGAAAUUACUCGCCAUUCGCUUAGGUGACACCGGCGGCGCGAAUUAUUCACGAAAGCGUACGGUGAUCAAGUACAGUAUAAUCAUAUAGAUAACACUCACAAGUGGGUAUGUGACAAUGUGCUUGAGAGCUCAAGUGGCUCCGUAAGACCCGGUGCGCAAAUAAUAACACACUGUUAAUCCAGGGAGAAAGGCGGGCGAGUGAUCGAACACAGACACUCAAAGGCUCCCCACGAAACUCAUGAAUGGAAAAUAGUACAGGAAAAAGGCAGGAGGGUACAAGGUCGUAGCCCUGAGAAAUGGAGACCAUCGUUCCGGGCUUGUCCUCGCAGAAGCGCAUCUGUUUAGCAGAUAGUGGCUGAAUCCUCGUGCAGAUGAUACUAGGAGGUAUUGCCACGGAGUCAACACUGCAGAGAAAAGGAGAGAAAAAUGAAUGAGUUUCACCACGUCGUGACCACCGGCUCGUAGCGCGUUGAUUACUCACAAGAGCUUUUUAGAGCCCGUCUCCAGCGCGUUCUGCACGGAGAAUGAUAUAAGAGUGAGUCGUAUAAAUGUCGCAAAGCACCAUUUAGCCAUGUUUGUAUUGCGUAUCCAAACUGGGUGAGUACUCGUCAAGAUUGCUUCUUCAUAGACGUGCGCUGUGCCGGGUUUAUAAACCACACCGAUCACCCAAAAGUAGCGACUUCCCCACGAGCGCUGAUUGGCGGAGACCGGAAUUAAUAUAUCUGUAUGUUUAAUUUACUCCGCGGAACUGGACAAUUGAUGCAAUCUCACUCGCGAAUAUUGCUUUGCUGUACGUGGGAAAAGGUCCGCUACACUUGGUUGCCCACUGUGUUAUACUGGGACAAACGUAUCCUUCCGGUAUUCGACCGAUAUUGAGACGGACAAAAGGGGGCGAUCAGGGGACACGAGUAGAGAAACACGAGUUUUCUAACAGCACCCUCUCGGGGCCAGGUCUCUUUGCUGUAGACUCGAGACGGAGAUUAUAGUUAUUCAUAGAGCUUUAUUAGUGCUCUCAUUCUGAAUAUAAACAAUACGCAGACCUUAUAGGAAUCUCUUAAACAAAUAAAGUGGUUUACUCAUAUAGUUUGGCGCGGCAGAGGCGCUUUGAUGUACCGGUCGCUCUAUUGCUGAUCGAGUUCAGCUCCGCCGCCGCAAAAAUAUCUAAGCGAAUUUUCUCAAAGAGCGCGCGACUUCUUCCAAGCAACGCCGGUCUUCGUGCCGGAAUUAAAAAGCUACCACCCGUCUGAUAACGGAAGUGAACGGCAAUUGGAAAUCGUUUUUGGGUUUAACAAAAAGGAGUCGACCAUCUAGCCGAGUUAUAAAGAUAAACCAGCUGACCAGCGCUCGUAUUUCUCCGCCGAUCAUGUAUUAUAAGCCGAUCAUGUAUUCCAAGGCAGCCAAAUCUCGGGUUUAAUCAGAGUUGCGUGAUUCUGUGACGGUUACACACGACCCAAGGGACCCACGUAUGUACACUAUCUGUAUCUCCGUAGCCAGGACUAAGGCAAUCUUUUGGGGCCGACUAGUGAUGUAGCGCACGCUCGCACGGCAUUCUUAAGUUGGACCUCCUUAAACGAAUGACGCGGUCUACCGGAAACGUUUACAUCAGCACCCACUUACAGGGUGGUGAUCAUAACACAAUCCCCGUCCCGUAAACAUGCAACUCAAGUACACACUUAAAACUAUUACCUUAUUAUAAACUUGUUGUGCCCUGGGUGAUUAGAGCGUUUGUUCAAUGCGGGGGAUGAAUGGAUCUGCGCUUUGAUUUUCGUUGAGUAAAUUAACUUGAGAGUGUUGCCCUCAAA